GACAUAAAAUAUCCAAGUAUGUGCAGCAGUUUAUACUGAAAUGCUGUAUAUGCGGGUCGUUGCACAAUGACCACGUGAAAACACUGAAGCCAUCAUGGUCCUUGGGGGGAAGCCUUUUAAAGCAGCACUAAAAUCUAAUAACAUUGCAACCAUUACCAUAUCUGAUAACACUCAACAGUAAACCUGUCGGGGGCCCAUUAUUGUACGUUAACUCCAUCAAUGCUUUUCAUCUGUCCAAAUAGAUGUAAGAACUUUUUUUUGCAGAUGGAAUUGAGGAGCACAUCUGUAUAAUCAG